AGCUGCAGGGUCAGUGAAAAAUACAGAAAGGCAGGUACUCCUGGGCCUAUGCAGAUGAUGGUAUCCUGAUACUUAGGAAAAGAAAAAGAAUCCUGCAGCUUUCUUUGCUGCCUUGGAGCACCUGAAGCAUGGCUGGCGUUUUAGACCUGUUAAUGAUGUCAAAAGAAAAUUCAGAGAGUUUCCUUGAUAGGAGUACUCUACUGGGGAGGAAAACAAAGGUUCACAAAUAGAAAACUUCAAAUCCAAACCUGGUAGAAAGUUCGGAGGCACACUGUUACACUUGUAAUUGAAUCCCCCCACUGCUUAAUUGGAACUAGAAUGGCUCCACAACCAGAUUUGAAACAUCUUCUGAAGCUGGUAGGAACAUCAGCUCUCCCUU